CGUCAAGGACGGAGCUUCGACCAAGAAAUUUGAAGCUGUCGUUUGGGAGAAGCCAUGGGAGCAUUUCAAAAGUCUCACCUCGUUUAAACCUAUGCCUGGGGGAUGGACUCCGAUAGACCCCACGGAGAAGCACGUGAUGGUGAUCGUGCAGUUCGCGGUGACAGAGUACAACAAACGGUCAAAGAGCGCGUUGAAGUUCGAGAGCGUGGAGAAGGCCGAGACUCAGGUGGUUUCCGGCACCAAUUACCGGCUGAUCUUGGUCGUCAAGGACGGACUUUCGACCAAGAAAUUUGAAGCUGUCGUUUGGGAGAAGCCAUGGGAGCAUUUCAAAAGUCUCACCUCGUUUAAACCUAUGCCUGGGGGAUGGACUCCGAUAGACCCCACGGAGAAGCACGUGAUGGAGAUCGGGCAGUUCGCGGUGACAGAGUACAACAAACGGUCAAAGAGCGCGUUGAAGUUCGAGAGCGUGGAGAAGGCCUGGACUCAGGUGGUUUCCGGCACCAAUUACCGGCUGAUCUUGGUCGUCAAGGACGGACCUUCGACCAAGAAAUUUGAAGCUGUCGUUUGGGAGAAGCCAUGGGAGCAUUUCAAGAGUCUCACCUCGUUUAAGCCUAUGCCUGGGGGAUGGACUCCGAUAGACCCCACGGAGAAGCACGUGAUGGAGAUCGGGCAGUUCGCGGUGACAGAGUACAACAAACGGUCAAAGAGCGCGUUGAAGUUCGAGAGCGUGGAGAAGGCCGAGACUCAGGUGGUUUCCGGCACCAAUUACCGGCUGAUCUUGGUCGUCAAGGACGGACCUUCGACUAAGAAAUUUGAAGCUGUCGAUUGGGAGAAGCCAUGGGAGCAUUUCAAGAGUCUCACAUCGUUUAAGCCUAUAUUUGGGGGAUGGACUCCGAUAGACCCCACGGAGAAGCACGUGAUGGAGAUCGGGCAGUUCGCGGUGACAGAGUACAACAAACGGUCAAAGAGCGCGUUGAAGUUCGAGAGCGUGGAGAAGGCCGAGACUCAGGUGGUUUCCGGCACCAAUUACCGGCUGAUCUUGGUCGUCAAGGACGGACCUUCGACCAAGAAAUUUGNNN
rnacentral:lncRNA from 1 species